UACGAAGGGGGCUAGCGUUGUUCGGAAUUACUGGGCGUAAAGCGCACGUAGGCGGAUUGGCAAGUCAGGGGUGAAAUCCCGGAGCUCAACUUCGGAACUGCCUUUGAUACUGCCUGUCUAGAGUCCGGAAGAGGUGGGUGGAAUUCCUAGUGUAGAGGUGAAAUUCGCAGAUAUUAGGAAGAACACCGGUGGCGAAGGCGGCCCACUGGUCCGGUACUGACGCUGAGGUGCGAAAGCGUGGGGAGCAAACAGG
rnacentral:rRNA from 1 species